CAUGGAGGGUGAGAAUCCCGUUCGGUUGAUCAGAUUCGCUUUACGAUACAGUCAUCAAAGAGUCAAGUUGUUUGGGAUUGCAGCUUAAAAUGGGAGGUAAAUUUCUCCUAAGGCUAAAUAGCGGCGAGAGACCGAUAGCGAACAAGUACCGUGAGGGAAAGAUGAAAAGAACUUUGAAAAGAGAGUUAAACAGUACGUGAAAUUGUUGAAAGGGAAACGAUUGAAGCCAGUCGUACCGGUGGGUAAUCAGCCUUUCGGGUGUGAUUAUGUGGAGCGUGAGGAGUUAAACGCCUUCAUGCCUUCAUAUUCGUGCACUUUGGGUGUAUUUGCCCGCAUGGUAGGUUAACAUCAAUUUCGGAUGCCAUAAAAUGGUUGGAGGAAUGUAGCUUCGGUUUCGUACUGAAGUGUUAUAGCCUUUGGCAGAUGUGGUGAUCGAGAUUGAGGAUUGCAACGGAUACCCUUCGGGGCCACCCGUCUGAUCUCUGAUCGUUACUCUGGUGCCGAAAGCGUGCUUACGGUUAUCAAAGUUGAUGGUCAAUAGGUUAGAACGGGUUAAAUUCGUUAAGGAUGUUGACGUAAUGG
rnacentral:rRNA from 1 species